rnacentral:rRNA from 1 species
GACAGAGGUGCCGAGCGUUAGGCGGAAUCACUGGGCUUAAAGCGUGUGUAGGCGGAUCGUUAAGUACCUUGUGAAAUCCCACGGCUCAACCGUGGAACUGCCAUUGAUACUAUCAGUCUUGAAUACCGUGGAGGUCAGCGGAAUAUGUCAUGUAGCGGUGAAAUGCUUAGAUAUGACAUAGAACACCAAUUGCGAAGGCAGCUGGCUACUCGGAUAUUGACACUGAGGCACGAAAGCGUGGGGAUCAAACAGG